GCAGUAAGCCAUGCUUUAGCCUCUGACCUGUGCUCCAAUUUUGGUACAAUGAUUUCUGCCAUGUUCUCCAACAGGGUGAGGAAACAGACAGCACUAAGAGAAAAAGCUGGAACUCAAAACCAAAUUAACUCCAAACUUAAGUUUUCCCACUUCGACAAGGUGUGUGUAUGUACGUAGUAAAGAGAUCACGGAGUUCCCUUUCCAGUGAAAUUUUUAUUUGUACGGAUGCAUGUGUAUGUAGGCAUAUGCGCACACAAACACACACAUACACUUUAGUUAAAUCAAUUUCAUAUGCAAAAGAAAAGUGAGCCAGGGCUAAGUUAUUAAAAGAAGCCUUUGAAGCAGAGAGUGAUGAUGUGUGAAAGACAUACAACAAAAGUUUAUUUAAACAAAGAACAAGCACAGAGGGAUGGGACAAAAGUGAAAAUAAGA
ensembl:lncRNA NFIA-AS1 NFIA antisense RNA 1